rnacentral:misc_RNA from 1 species
GGGUAUUGGAUCCUCAUCGGCAGGGUCGUUUGUAAACACACAUAAGCAGAUAAAUAAAUUCCUUUAUACUAAUGGACUACUAUAAUCAUUUUUAAUACAGUGUUGAAGAACAAAAUAUAAUUCUUAAUAAAAAGUAAUGCAUAAUAUUGCACAACUCGAAAAAGUAAACACGGACAUGGUUAAAUUUGCAUGAAAUCAAAAGUACUGGAUAUUUAUACACAAGGUCCAGAGUUCGUACUUGCCCAAGUCUGAAAUUUUUUGUCCGUGAUUCAUAUCGCGUGUAUGGUGAUUCAAUAAUUAUACAAAGCAUUAGCUUCACAAUAUUCGUGUAUUCAAAGGGUUUAUUAAUAAACAAAAUUUAAAUAACUAAGUAUACAAAUUAUAUUUGUAACAAAAAUAUAAAAUAUUUGUUUUUAUUGUUGAAUAGUUCAG